UGCCGUGAUGAUUAUGCAUAUUUUUUCUGACACCUCUUGUAUGAGAGCAUUCACAGUGCCCGUUGAACGGAAAUGCGUCUUUCUGAGCA
rfam:Physcomitrella patens subsp. patens PHYPAscaffold_17 genomic scaffold, whole genome shotgun sequence.